rnacentral:rRNA from 1 species
GAUGAACGCUGGCGGCGUGCCUAAUACAUGCAAGUCGAACGCUGGAAAUCUAGCUUGCUCGAUUGAAGGAGUGGCGAACGGGUGAGUAAUACAUAAGCAACCUACCCACGAAGACUGGGAUAAUCUCUGGAAACGGGGACUAAUACCGGAUAGGUAAUCGGAAGGCAUCUUCUGAUUAUUAAAGGUUAAAAACACUGGUGGAUGGGCUUAUGGCGCAUUAGUUAGUUGGUGAGGUAACGGCCCACCAAGACGAUGAUGCGUAGCCGGCCUGAGAGGGUGAACGGCCACAUUGGGACUGAGACACGGCCCAGACUCCUACGGGAGGCAGCAGUAGGGAAUUUUCGGCAAUGGGGGAAACCCUGACCGAGCAACGCCGCGUGAGUGAUGACGGCCUUCGGGUUGUAAAGCUCUGCUGUAAGGGAAGAACGGUAGAUAGAGAAUAUCUAAAUGACGGUACCUUACCAGAAAGCCACGGCUAACUACGUG